rnacentral:misc_RNA from 1 species
AAAGUCGUAACAAGGUCUCCGUUGGUGAACCAGCGGAGGGAUCAUUACCGAGUUGCAAAACUCCCAAACCCACUGUGAACCGAAUACCACUGUUGCUUCGGCGGAUACGCCCCGGGCGCACCUCCUCACGGGGGUGUGCCCCGGAACCAGGCGCCCGCCGGGGGACCGAAACCUUCUGUAUUUUCCAUUUGAGUACUCUGAGUGUGAUUUACAAAAUCAAAAUUAAAACUUUCAACAACGGAUCUCUUGGCUCUA